rnacentral:lncRNA from 1 species
GAGGUUCCCAACGUCUUGCCUUAUGUGUGGCUGGAAGACAGACUCUAUCCAGCAGAGGCAGGUGGCCCAGAUGAAGAGAAUUUGAGGAACAGGGCCCUGAGGAGUGAGCAGGCCCUGAUGCUGGGAGUGAGAAGAGCCCACCUGGCUCAGAGGAUUGAAGACCUGGAAUGGGAGCUGUCCCUGCUCCUCCAGGUGACAGAUGGCAGUGUGCGUGCAGGAGGGGACUGGCCCAGCCUGGGGAGACACUGAGUCACACAGGAUGCUGUGGUGGCCACCUGUAGGAGUGUCUUCUCCACAGAGAACACAACCAGGUUAAUCCACUCAGUCCUGGUAGGAAAGAGUGGGUGUCUGAGGGGCCACCAGGCCUGGAGGGUGUGCUCAGUUUCAGGACAUGUUCCUUUUGGGUAACACCCAACUUUUUUUUCAGAGCCUGGACUUGUACAGAUUUCUGCCUGGGAUCCUUUGGGGUGAGGAAAAAUAAAGUUGUAGAGUUUGAGAAAAUUGACCUGUGUUCCCAUCACUGAAUCUAUCCCUCCUCAUUCUCUCUUGAGGGUACUGACCACUGAGUGCUGCAGUCCAGGCCAAAUGCCCCCAACAGUUUUACUGCGGUGCCCAGCUUCAGGGGUGACAAGUGCUCGGGAUGGGGAGUAUGAGAACUUAGAUGAAGUUGUAGCACAGAGCUUCCACACCCAUCUUCCAUCAUUCUGGAGUCAUCAUGGGGAUCCCCAGUGGGCUGCAUGUCCUGCCCAGUUCCAGUGACCUCCUGGAGCACAGAAAUGAGGAAGAAGCUUGAAGGGCCUGUGCUGCACAAGACAAUGACGCUCCAACACGGUCAAUGUGCAAAUGAGAGAGGCAUCUGCAUUCGUGCACAAGUGAAGCUGGAACCAAAUGAAAGCUCCCUGCAGUCUGAGAACUGUAGAUUCCUCUUCUGCAGCAAAAAGCCAAGAGCUGCAGCCUGAGAUUGUACCCUGCUUACUGCCAGCUGUGCCACCUCCUGGUGAAGCAACAAUGAGCAAGCUGCUUAAACUCUGUACUUCAGGUUUCUUGUCAAUAAAACAAAGGUGAUCAGCA